GAGUUUGAUCAUGGCUCAGAGCGAACGCUGGCGGCAGGCCUAACACAUGCAAGUCGAGCGGCCGUAGCAAUACGGCAGCGGCAGACGGGAGAGUAACACGUGGGAACGCGCCCUUCGGUCCGGGAUAACCCAGGGAAACUUGGGCUAAUACCGGAUACGCCCUUACGGGGAAAGAUUUAUUGCCGAAGGAACGGCCCGCGUCCGAUUAGCUAGUUGGUGAGGUAAUGGCUCACCAAGGCGACGAUCGGUAGCUGGUCUGAGAGGAUGACCAGCCUCACUGGGACUGAGACACGGCCCAGACUCCUACGGGAGGCAGCAGUGGGGAAUAUUGGACAAUGGGCGCAAGCCUGAUCCAGCCAUGCCGCGUGGGUGAUGAAGGCCCUAGGGUUGUAAAG
rnacentral:rRNA from 1 species